GUUGAGUCUGAAUGUUGGAUGUUGUGUAUCUCGUGUUCUCUGGGCUUUGUUGUCCUCAGUCUUUUGCAGGAUCAGAAAACAAAACCAGGAUGACCAUAAAUGUUUCUUCUCCAAUUGGAUGAUGAUAAGACUGUGACACGGGAUGCCACCUUUAGUCUUGUGAUGAAGCAAAGCUCAGGAAGAAGUGUGAUUAAAUGGUACCCACAUGUGUGCUGCUGAGAAGGAUGUACAGGGGCACCUGCAGCCAAAUCCAAGCCUCCUCAGAGCAGAGCAGCAGUUUGUGCUCACAGAUGGUGACGGUGUGGAGAGACGGUGGUGUUUCCUCAGAAGAACUAGCAGAGUCACAAAGGGCACGAGUCCAUCUCACCACCUUGACUUGUUGAUCAGUGGAUACACUUGUCUCCCCUUUAAAGGAGAUACUCUUAGAGAGAGACGAUCAGAGUCAUCCUUAAAUAUGGGCAGGAUAUCACUAUUGGACUGUCUAACCUGCAGGAGCAGCACUGAAUGACCACCACACAUGAUCAGUUCCUGCAACAUUCAGCAGCUCUGCUUUUGUGUCAAAUGUCGAACAGCUGGAGAGGAAACUACACCAGUGUACUGGGAUGUUUCACCAACACGUGCCAGACGCUGUUCCUUCAUGGUGACAUCACCAGAGACGGCCCCGCCCACCUCAGGACCUCGCCAUUGAUCAUGAUGAUUUUAAUGAUGACAGCGAGCGGAACUAAGACUGUAAAAAUCAGAAUGUUUAGAUGCUUUCUAAUUAUUCAUGAAUACUGAGAGCCUCUUUCUGUGUUUUGUCUGUUUUGUUUUUUACCUCAUUUGUUACUAACAAAGUUCACCAAACUCACACAGUUUACAUUCUGUAUGUUUCCAUCUUUACCAGCCACAGUCUACCCGCAAUU
ensembl:lncRNA